UAGGGAAUCUUCGGCAAUGGACGAAAGUCUGACCGAGCAACGCCGCGUGAGUGAAGAAGGUUUUCGGAUCGUAAAACUCUGUUGUUAGAGAAGAACAAGGACGUUAGUAACUGAACGUCCCCUGACGGUAUCUAACCAGAAAGCCACGGCUAACUACGUGCCAGCAGCCGCGGUAAUACGUAGGUGGCAAGCGUUGUCCGGAUUUAUUGGGCGUAAAGCGAGCGCAGGCGGUUUCUUAAGUCUGAUGUGAAAGCCCCCGGCUCAACCGGGGAGGGUCAUUGGAAACUGGGAGACUUGAGUGCGGAAGAGGAGAGUGGAAUUCCAUGGGUAGCGGUGAAAUGCGUAGAUAUAUGGAGGAACACCAGUGGCGAAGGCGGCUCUCUGGUCUGUAACUGACGCUGAGGCUCGAAAGCGUGGGGAGCAAACAGG
rnacentral:rRNA from 1 species